ensembl:lncRNA
AAUAGACUGAGUGAUUUAUUUCAGAACUCUGAUGUUUUAUCACAAACAGAUUUUGAUUGAAGCACUCCCCAUCUUAUGGCUGUUUAGAAGAAUUCACUGGUAGGUCUCCUUCAUUAAGCCACUGAAGGUCACAGAAAAGCCUGUAAGUGCUCAAUGCCUUUGAGAUUUCUGCCUAUCUGCCAUGUUUGGUUUAAGCUGGCUGAGUGGCUUAAGGCACCUGGAGCAUGUCAGGAAGGCACGGUAGAGAGCUCCUCCCAUCCUCCUGGGUGCAAAAGCUCAAGGUACACACCAGUGCAGCCUGCACAGUGCUGAUUGUGAGUGUGUGUGCCACAAGAGCUAAGGCAGAGCUUCUCCAUCUCAAAUUGCCCAGGCCAAGUCACUCCUAAGCACCAUUUCUGCACCGUGCCUGGGGUCAUUCUGCCAAGCCUUGCAGUCCUGCCUCUGUCUUUCUCAGAUGAUGGUCUGCUUGGUUUCAUGGAGCUGCAUGUUAUGACCUGCCAACCCCCUGAGUAAUGUGUAGAAUAGCCAAUGUCUGCCGCAGUUUUGCAGGAGUGACUCACUGCUGAAUUUAUUUCCUCCUUUUCCAGUGGAACUGUGUACUAGAAACACAGUCUGUGCACCCAACUGGGGAGCAGGGAAGAAAAGGGCUAUGUGAUCCUAUAUGACUGGAAGAAGAGUGGGUCUGGGUAAUACAGCAGGGAAGAUCAUACUUCGUUGCAGUUCCCAUCCUUCUGACUGCAAUCCAUUUUUUGCCUAAGGCAAGUAUACAUCCUGUGGACUUUGAGGGAAGUUGAGGAUCAAAAAGUUUGAUAUAGCUGACAGAAUGUUAAUGUUUCAGGAGACAGCCACUACAUUCAUCCUCUUGCCACUGCAGAAAUAAAACCCCUCUUCCCUAAGUGAUUUUCAAGUGGGAAGCUGACAGUAGUUAAUGCUUUUGACAGAAAAAGUAGACUCCCUUGUUUAAACAGACUGUCUGCACACGCACAGUCUCCCCCACACAUAGCGUGGAGAAAGAGAAGUGGUCUUUGAACAAAAUCACACACUUUAUUUUUAAUCAAGAAAGCAUUUUUUAUAUUAGAGAAUUUUCUUGGCCUGUGGACCUGAAAUUUCCAUGUGAAGGUCCAGUAUUCACUGACACUUGAUCUAAUUCACCUGAACUGCCUCACAAGGACUGGCUGUGUGAGCAGCAGCGUGCUUUGGUGCACUGACACUGUUAUCCAGUUCAUCUGGUGAGGGAAAAGGGGAGAUAGGUGUACAGCUUCACCUGCACCCGUGUAUUCUGAGGCCCCUUCGGAUGCUCAAAGAGAGCACAUGGUGCUGUCAUAGAAUCACAGAGUCGUCGUGGUCAGAAGAGAUCACUAAGAUCAUCAUCUCCAAUUGUCAGCCCAUCACCACCACUAACCAUGGCCCUCAGUUCCACGUCUCCACAUCUGUUGAAAGUGCAUGAAGUUUUCCAGCCGUAGAAGCCCUCCUUCCGUCUUUUUCUCUGUAAUCUCUAAUUGCAGUGGUUGCAUUACCAGCACGAGUCUGAGUUGAGCUGAGCGUUUUGCUAUUUCCUGGAUGUGAUGAGCACCGGCAAUGGUGCAUGUCAACAGUGCUUUCAGCUUCACGUGCAGCUGUUUCAUCACCCAGCCGGGCUGUGGUUCGAGGAGGGGCUCAGCCUGCAGAACUGGCACUGAGGUCCUCAGCCCUUGAAAUGCUAGGAGAAAGGUGUCAUAGCAAAAGACUUCGGGGCUGCUGCCUUUUGAGCCGAUGCACUCUCAUCAGCGGAGAAGGUGAAGUGGAGAAUACGCGGAAUACUUCAUAGUGGGAUCGUGGGAGACUCUUGUGUAUAGUUGAUUCAUUUUGGAAAGCAAAACUGACGGACCUUUGUGCAUCCACGAUUGAUGUGGGGGUGAUGUGCGUUCAUAAAGGGAGACAAGGCCUGCUAGGGGAACAGUGCCUCUAAGUCUGCUGUGGCAGCAUCUAGUAGUAAUAGAACCUCGCCGUGCCUGGCCGUCAUGUUCUUACCUCAUUUUCCCACUCCGAUGUACCCAUGAAACCCGAUCUUGGUGCCUUUUUUUCCCACCCGAGAGACCAGGCCACGAUUUUCUUAAUUUUAGGAAAGAAAAAGGCAUCUCCGAGAGGUGAUGUGUGUUGUACAGAUUAACGUUAAGCCUUUCGCUUUGUUGUUGUUGUUGUUUUAAUUAUCAUGCUUUACAUUUAUUGUCGUUGACCAGAAUCAGUGAUCUCUGUAUUCAGGUUUUCAUUAAAAGAAGCACCCACUCCU